rnacentral:rRNA from 1 species
ACAGAGGGGGCAAGCGUUAUUCGGAAUUAUUGGGCGUAAAGCGCACGUAGGCGGCUUUGUAAGUUAGAGGUGAAAGCCCAGGGCUUAACCCUGGAAUUGCCUUUAAGACUGCAUCGCUAGAAUUGUGGAGAGGUAAGUGGAAUUCCGAGUGUAGAGGUGAAAUUCGUAGAUAUUCGGAAGAACACCAGUGGCGAAGGCGGCUCACUGGCCCGGUACUGACGCUGAGGUGCGAAAGCGUGGGGAGCAAACAGGA